UAAUCGACAUUGUAAGAAAAUUUAACAGCUCCUUGAAAAACAAUAUAUAUAUCUAUAAGAGAGAGAGAGAGAGAGAGAGAGAGAGAGAGAGAGAGAGAGAGAGAGAGCAAUAUGAAAAGGAUACUAAAGAAAGGCUAUUAGAUGGUUUAAUCUACAUUGGAACAAAAUUUAACAGUUACUUGAAAACAAUAUAUAUAUCUAUAAGAGAUAGAGAGAGAGAGAAGACUAUGUAAAGGACCCUAACGAAAGGCUAUUAAAUGAUUUAAUCGAAAUU
rnacentral:lncRNA from 1 species